GCCUCGAUGGUUCAGUGGAAUUAUGCAUUCCUCGUAAGGGUGGAACGCGGGUUCAACUCCCGGCUGAGGCG